rnacentral:rRNA from 1 species
AAUCUUCCGCAAUGGGCGAAAGCCUGACGGAGCAACGCCGCGUGAGUGAUGAAGGUUUUCGGAACAUAAAGCUCUGUUGCUAGGGAAGAACGUCCGGCAGAGUAACUGCUGCCGGAGUGACGGUACCUGAGAAGAAAGCCCCUGCUAACUCUGUACCAGCAGCCGCGGUAAUACGUAGGGGGCAAGCGUUGUCCGGAAUUAUUGGGCGUAAAGCGCGCGCAGGCGGCUAUUUAAGUCUGGUGUUUAAACCAUGGGCUCAACCUGUGGUCGCACUGGAAACUGGGUGGCUUGAGUACAGAAGAGGAAAGUGGAAUUCCACGUGUAGCGGUGAAAUGCGUAGAGAUGUGGAGGAACACCAGUGGCGAAGGCGACUUUCUGGGCUGUAACUGACGCUGAGGCGCGAAAGCGUGGGGAGCAAAC